rnacentral:misc_RNA from 1 species
GAGAAACAUUAUUUUAAGGUGUAAUGAUAAAAGAAUUCCAAUGAUUACAUGCCUUUUCAAACCCAAUGGGAUGGUAUGGUGUUGAUAUUCUUUGGCUUUUUCUAUUACUGGGUGAUCAUGUAAAUCCUAGUUGUAUUAGGAACCCUGAAUGUAUAAGGAUCAGGUCAAUAUAAACUAGGCUGUAUUAUUCUCAUUCUCAAAUCUCAAUAGUGAAAAAGCAAGCGAUGUAGGCACACUUGCUGAACUAUGUAAAAUUCUUGUGUUCGUUUUUCUCUCUUUAUUCCUUAUCUGCACAUGUGUGUGUUCAAUGGUGUUUUCCGCAAACACUUGUAAUAUUCCCCUUAAUACCAAAAAACUACAAGUGGCUCUUUGUGGAUGUAAACGCAUUUUGUGUAUUUUAUUUAUUUAUUUUUGACUUUCUGUGAUCAUUUAAUUUUUC